rnacentral:lncRNA from 1 species
GGAGUUUAGACUUACUUCCUUCAGUUUAAAAGUAAGGGAACUGUCUCAAUCAUUUUGGGCUGCCAUAACAAAAGUGAUAAAGGCUUCUCACAGUUCCAGAGAAUGGAAAGUCCAAGAUAAAGGCUUGCUGGACCUGUGACCACACAAAGAUGUAGACUAUUCAAUGAUAUAUGGUUCACUGAUUUGCAUAAUAUUCUACUUGUCCUCUUAAAAACAGUAUCAUUCCUAAGCAGAACAGAAAAAGAUGGUUUUGGCUGCC